rnacentral:rRNA from 1 species
CCUACGGGUGGCAGCAGUGGGGAAUAUUGCGCAAUGGGCGAAAGCCUGACGCAGCGACGCCGCGUGAGGGAUGAAGGUCUUCGGAUCGUAAACCUCUGUCAGCAGGGAAGAACGGUCACUGUGCUAAUCAGCAGUGAAUUGACGGUACCUGCAAAGGAAGGACCGGCUAACUCCGUGCCAGCAGCCGCGGUAAUACGGAGGGUGGGGGCGUUAAUCGGAAUUACUGGGCGUAAAGGGCUCGUAGGCGGUAUGUCAAGUCAAGGGUGAAAUCCCCGGGCUCAACGUGGGAACUGCCUUGGAAACUGGCUAGCUGGAGUGUGUGAGAGGAUAGUGGAAUUCCAGGUGUAGGAGUGAAAUGCGUAGAUAUCUGGAGGAACAUCAGUGGCGAAGGCGACUAUCUGGCACAUAACUGACGCUGAGGAGCGAAGGCGUGGGUAGCAAACAGGAUUAGAUACCCCUGUAGUC